rnacentral:rRNA from 1 species
AACGGCCUUACCAUGCUGACUAUACCGGUUCUCGUUAGAUCACCGAAGUCAAGCAUCAUUGGGCGCGGUCAGUACUUGGGUGGGUGACCACCUGGGAACACCGCGUGCCGUU